rnacentral:rRNA from 1 species
UACGGAGGGAGCUAGCGUUGUUCGGAAUUACUGGGCGUAAAGCGCGCGUAGGCGGCUUUGUAAGUUAGAGGUGAAAGCCCGGAGCUCAACUCCGGAACUGCCUUUAAGACUGCAUCGCUUGAAUCCGGGAGAGGUGAGUGGAAUUCCGAGUGUAGAGGUGAAAUUCGUAGAUAUUCGGAAGAACACCAGUGGCGAAGGCGACUCACUGGCCCGUUACUGACGCUGAGGCGCGAAAGCGUGGGGAGCAAACAGG